UGACAGAAGAAGAAGCGCAUUAGCCAAGCAGCAGAGACUAUUUGCUAAGAUGGUUGAACAUAUCCCAUUUUAAACUAUAAAAUUAGCUUUGUUUUGAAGAAAAAUACCCAGCUCAAUCAAAGAGGUGGCAGACACGUGGACUUGGGUCGAAGAUUCUUCAAGGUUCGUUCUCGGUCAGUUCGACUAUGAAAGUCUUGGGUCGAAGAUUCUUCAAGGUUCGUUCUCGGUUAGUUCGACUAUGAAAGUCUUGGAGAGAGCUCUGUACUAUUUGCACGAGCAGGUGUAUGGUGUAUGACUGGUUGAAUUGGGUCAAAUUCAUACCAUUUUUUGUCAGUGUAUUAGUGUGUUGUACAUUUGUGUGAAGUGUACUGGCCUAACCUAUCGAUUCGAAUUGUUUGACUCUUUGAACUGCCCGAUCCUCCCAUUUUAUGACCUCUAGGAUGAUGUAAAGUUCAGUGAAAUUUGUAGCGAAAGUAAUUGAUCUUGUAGUGUUUCAUUGAAAUUUUGCAUUAUUGUUUUUUCAGGCAACCAUUUUUGAGGAAUUGGAAAACCGUUUGAAGUGUAGGUUAUGAUCGGGGG